GUUCCCGUACGAUCACUGAAGUUAAGCAACGUCAAGCCUGGUCUGUACCUAGAUGGGUGACCGCUUGAGAAUACCAGUUGCUGUAA